CUCUCCCUGCCUCCAUGCUUGCAAAGUUCUCAAAAUGGCUCAACUGAGGCCUAUUUGUGGUUGGCUGAUUGGUGAUCAGUUUUGUAAGUAAGUGUUUUCAGGUGUGUGUCUAAGUGUUUUCAAUCACCCAAUGUGUUUUGUAUUUUGAAUAGAUGUGUUUUCCCAAUGGUACCCAUGAGAUUUCAUUUAUGAACGAAGUGUCUUAUGUAUGAAAUAGUGUGUAGUGUGCAGGAGCAAGUGUGUUGCAGAAUUGCAACUGAAGUGCAAAGCAGCGCUUUUGUUUAAGUGGUGAGUGUGUGUCCAGGCCGUGUGCC